UAGGGAAUAUUGGAAAUGGACGAAAGUCUGAUCUAGCAACACCGCGUGUGCGAAGAAGGCCUUCGGGUUGUAAAGCACUUUUUGGAAGGAUUAGGAAGGAAUGUACUUCCAGAAUAAGUCUCGGCUAACUACGUGCCAGCAGCCGCGGUAACACGUAGGAGGCAAACGUUAUCCGGAUUUACUGUGCGUAAAGCGCGUGUAGGUGGUGCUGUAAGUAGGGCGUGAAAGCUCCUGGCUCAACGGGGAGAGGCCGUUCUAAACUGCAGAGCUAGAGGAUGGUAGAGGGAGGUGGAAUUCCGGGUGUAGCGGUGGAAUGCGCAGAUAUCCGGAGGAACACCAGUGGCGAAAGCGGCCUCCUGGACCAUUCCUGACACUCAGACACGAAAGCUAGGGUAGCAAACG
rnacentral:rRNA from 1 species